rnacentral:misc_RNA from 1 species
CACUUUGAUCAUAGGAGGCCAGCAACAUAUAUUCAGCUUCUAAGCUCUGUUUUAGGGUACAAUGGCAUCACUCAAGGUUGAGAAGCCUGCAGCUGGCUCUCAAACCACCACACCUGUCAAGAAAGAGCCUGCCAAAUCUAGCAGUAGUGCACCCAAAGCUCCGGCCUCCCAGCCUGCCCCUAAAAGGGCCGAGCAGAAGCCCCGGGAGCCUAAGAAGAAGGUACAUAUACUAUAUUGGAGUCCCAGGCAUUCAAUAAUGUUACGAAUCCUUUAAAAUUUAUAACUUAUUUUUUAUUUUUAUUAUUAGGGUUAGAAUUAAAAUCUCAUAUUGAAAAAAAUACAUAAAAAGAUCAUGACUUAAUAUAAUAUUUGUGUCUCAUCAUCUAUAAAUUUAAAUUUUUAAAUUAAAUUGAGUGUUUCCUUUGAAGUAAGAAAAUUUGUCCAGCCUAAGUUAAUUAAAAAGCAUAAAAACAUAAUUAGGCAUGGAAGUGAGCAUUUCACAUAAGGAAUUUUUCAGUAUAAACCUAAGAUGUAAAAUAUAUAAUAGACUAUUUGUUAAAUGUAUAAGUCUCACACGUUUGUAUCUUAAAUUUAUAAUGAACGUGUCUAGAUAACUUCCAUUGCAUGCUUUGCAUGAGUAAAUCGAAGAUCUUGCUGAUAACUUUUGUGGUCCAAUUGCGUUAAUUUUUGAUGAUUGAGCAGGGAACAGGAAGCAAGCCAGCAACAAAAUGAGGAGAAGAAUGUGAAGAAUCCAUGAAUUAAGAAAUUAAUUCAUGGUGAUUCAUAUUUAUCCAUAUUAAUGUGCAACUUUAUUUGCUCCCUACUUAUGACAUACAUGUCUCUCUUUUUAGGCUUCGCCUAAUAAUUAAAUAAAAACACAUAUUUUAACCAAA